GGCCACCUGUGCUCUGCUGCCCUGACCAAGACGACACUUGUUCCAGAGGAUGUUACUGUGACCAAUACUGUUUGGAAGCUAGAGAUUGUUGCCCUGAUUAUAAUUUAACCUGUCAACUAUCUUUAACCACUGCACCAAUAAGAGGACCGGAUAAAACCAGCAACAGCACAACUAGAAUGACAAACACCACACAAAUGUCUCCAUCUACAGAAUUGUCAACAUGGAGAGGAAACUCCACAACAUCAUCUUCACCAUUUCAAGAGACCACAACGACACAACCCACCUCUGCCACUAAUGCAAACACCCAAACACACAAUGAUACAUCUGCACUUGGAUAUGACAGCCCAACUACAUCCAUACCUGUAACUGCAGCACCCAGCACAACAGACAUCAACCCGUCUUUUUUGCAUAAUGUUACAACCUCUGAAUCAACAUCACUUAAUACGACAUCAGGAAUCCUUGAUGGAAACACAACAACUACACCCACAGUGAAGAAUUAUACAACAGCCAGCACAACUACUCACAUUACAACAAACGCAUUGACAUCAUCCACAUUAUCAGCUACUCUAACAACCAACCAACCAAGUCCCAAUACCACAUAUAAUAGCACACAUUCACCAUCAGUUAACAUUUCAACUACAUCUGCAGACACUUCAACAGUUGCCUCUGGUUCAAAAACCAGCAGUACUUCCACAACACAACUGGAUGUCACUCCAUGGCCAACACAGACAGAGUCAUCUAAUACCGCUGUUAGCCAAGGAAACAGCAUCAGCACAACGACAGAUUCUGAUAGGACCAAAACAUCAAUCUCCACCCAUUCAGGAGAAGCAACACAAUCGAGGACCACAAACCUGCAGACCAGCAGUUCCACAUCUCCACUGGGAGACUCCACCACCAGCAGCACCAGCUUAAACAAUGAUUUCCAAACAGUGAUCUUUCACCUCAAUGCCUACAUUUUAUCUUCUAAUGGUGACAGUGAAGAUGUGAUUUUAGAGGCUUUCUCUAAUUUUAUGAAGCAGGUCAUUCUACCAAACUGUGAGGGAUGUACAAUGAAAAUCACACACUUUAAGCCCACCUAAGAAGCAAACACAUGAGUACUACACAAGCUCUGAACUGAAG
rnacentral:lncRNA from 1 species